rnacentral:rRNA from 1 species
AGAGUUUGAUCCUGGCUCAGGAUGAACGCUAGCGACAGGCUUAACACAUGCAAGUCGAGGGGCAGCACAGGUAGCAAUACCGGGUGGCGACCGGCGCACGGGUGAGUAACGCGUAUGCAACUUACCUAUCAGAGGGGGAUAGCCCGGCGAAAGUCGGAUUAAUACCCCAUAAAACAGGGGUCCCGCAUGGGAAUAUUUGUUAAAGAUUCAUCGCUGAUAGAUAGGCAUGCGUUCCAUUAGGCAGUUGGCGGGGUAACGGCCCACCAAACCGACGAUGGAUAGGGGUUCUGAGAGGAAGGUCCCCCACAUUGGUACUGAGACACGGACCAAACUCCUACGGGAGGCAGCAGUGAGGAAUAUUGGUCAAUGGCCGAGAGGCUGAACCAGCCAAGUCGCGUGAAGGAAGAAGGAUCUAUGGUUUGUAAACUUCUUUUAUAGGGGAAUAAAGUGGAGGACGUGUCCUUUUUUGUAUGUACCCUAUGAAUAAGCAUCGGCUAACUCCGUGCCAGCAGCCGCGGUAAUACGGAGGAUGCGAGCGUUAUCCGGAUUUAUUGGGUUUAAAGGGUGCGUAGGUGGUGAUUUAAGUCAGCGGUGAAAGUUUGUGGCUCAACCAUAAAAUUGCCGUUGAAACUGGGUUACUUGAGUGUGUUUGAGGUAGGCGGAAUGCGUGGUGUAGCGGUGAAAUGCAUAGAUAUCACGCAGAACUCCGAUUGCGAAGGCAGCUUACUAAACCAUAACUGACACUGAAGCACGAAAGCGUGGGGAUCAAACAGGAUUAGAUACCCUGGUAGUCCACGCAGUAAACGAUGAUUACUAGGAGUUUGCGAUACAAUGUAAGCUCUACAGCGAAAGCGUUAAGUAAUCCACCUGGGGAGUACGCCGGCAACGGUGAAACUCAAAGGAAUUGACGGGGGCCCGCACAAGCGGAGGAACAUGUGGUUUAA